ACCAAGUUCAUCUCCCAAGACAGUGCUCUGCCACUGAUUGGAAAAUGCCACAGUUGGGCCUUACUUACCCUAAUGAGAAUUACACCUUUUGAGAGUUAUAAACCUCUUUAUUUACAGAUAUCUGUGUGUUUUCUCAAACAGAAGCCCGCAAAUGCUGAAUCUCACUGCACUGUAAGAUGACAAAACACUAUGUCAGGCACUGCUGCUUACUCUGUACUAACAAAAAUUGGCUAAAAACCCUGUGUUCCUCAUACAUUGAGGGGAUGGAAAGUUAAACAGUGUUUAGGGAGAUCUUGGAAAUUCCUGUUCUGGAACUUACUGUUGGAGCAGGGGAUAGAAUUAUCCACUUGUUGUUUAGGUGCAUGAGGCUUGUAUUCCUUGGGUAUUUAUGCAGGAGUUAGGAAGUGAACAGAUCAGGAAUGCCAAACCUUCCUUGGGUUGUUACUGAGCCCAUUCAGGAGCUGCUCCUUUGAGCAGCGUGGGCUGGGAUUGAGGGGUUCAGGUGUGUCAGGCAGGUUUUUGAGGCACAAACACCAGGCUUCCAUAGGUUUGGGAGUGCUGGUCUGUGGAAAAUGGAAACACUGACGUAGCAGAAUUGCACUGUCUGGGGCAUUAAUUGUUAAAUGUCAGUGCAAUUAUGUUUUAAUGAAAUAAUGGUAUCUCUGGGAGUAAGAACUGCUGGGGAAUAGUUACUGAGGUAAGAAACAACAUAGACUUUGAAUUUUGCAGAUGAGUACCAAGAUUUUUGGCAGCCAAAUACUCUUAAGGCAGGGAACACCUAUAAACACUCUUAUUGAGGAUUAAGAGCCUGAAAUAAUCUCAGUUUGUACAUUUCUGUACAGAUAGUAAUGGAGACAGAGUUACUCUACUGUGCAUCUGUUCAUCUUGUUCGCCUUGUGAUUUUGUUGUGCAGUGAUCAAAUUUUACCAGAGCUUUGUAUUACUAAAAAUAUUUUACUGCAUUCCUACAUAUUUAAGAACCACUUAGAACAAGAUAACAGUCAAAAUUUUAACUUGGUAGCUGCAGGUUUAAUUUCUUAGGGAAAAAAGUCUCACCCGAUCUCAUCAAAUGGGGAAGUUACUUUUAAGGAGUGUAGCUGAAUACACAUAUACAUUAAUAUAGACAGUGUUACCUUUCACAGAGGAUCUUGGGCUCUGGAAAACCAACGGGUGCAGCUGGGAUUGGGAAAUCCUGGGGGGCUGGAGGUGACAAGGAGAUGUUUCUUUCCACACCAGGAAGAAUUCCUUGUCCUGCUCCUCCUGAGACGGUGCUGCAUCCGUGGGCUGUGCAGGGUAAUAAUUACCUUGGGAGAGAUACAAGCAGCAUUUUAUGUGUUGGUGUGUGCUGGUGUUACAAGAAAAUGCAGAGUUAGAGCAGGUAUUCAAAACUAGAAGGGGCAAAGGUCUGGGAGGAUGCUUGGACUUUAGGGGCUGGUUGGACAUGAGCUGCAGGUGGCACAGAGGUGUUCAGCAUCCUCUGGGAUGUCCCUGUGUGCUCCCCAAAGCUCACCUGGUCAUUCCCCUAACUCACUGCAAAAAGGUGCACUGAGCUCCUGCAACAGCCUGGUGGGAAGAAACUGUUCUCAUUUGAAACACAAACAACUCCUGGCUUCUUGAAAUGAAGCAGCAGAUACCUGAUAAUCUCAGAUCGAGGCUUUGAAUAAAUUCCUGUUUUCUGUUCCUGUGAGAUUUACAGCAAGGAUAAAAGUUUUCAGCUCCAGGAGAUGCCCACUGAGGAAAACUUAGUAGAGACAGCAAAUAUAUAUGUAGAGAAAAUAGAGUUCUUUAAGGAAUUAACAUGUUUGCCUGCAUUUGUAAGAGGUUCUACUCUGUUGUGCCCUGCUUUUUAUGCUUUUAUGCACCUUUUUCUAAAUGUUCCUGUAUCUUCCCUUUCUGGUACAUCAGCCUUUCUCAGCAGCAUUUUUCUGAGCUUGCCAAGUGUGGAUUCACCACUUUCCUGAAGCCCCCCUUGGCAUUUCCCUGCUUGUGCUUUCCAGGAUGCCUCCCCUGGGGACACCGUAACUCUGCCAGAAGCUGUUCCAUGGCUCCAUCCAGUUCUGCUGCUGUGGGAAGCUCCUGUGUGUCCCUGCCUGGGCUCUGCUGGCUCCUGGGUGGGGGCAGCCUCGCCCCAGGGAACAUUUCCAAGGCCGCAGUUUAAGUUUGGUUGUUGGAUUUCACUGCAAACAAGACCUUUCAACACUUCAAGCCUCACCCAUGAGCUUCUUGAUGAAAGAAAUGUUUACUUAGCUUUUCUUUUUUGUUGUUUUUGGCUCUGCAGCCUCUGGUCUGGGAAAAGGUGCAAUGUUGGGUCUUCUGGUGGCACUGAGAACAAAGCGUGACAAGGAGACACGUGAAUUAAAAUCUGCAUUACUUUUACUGGAAAAAAAUGCUGGAGUUCUGGUUUUUUAGAUGAAACGAUAAGAACUUGGAGUGUGAUUGAUGGCUGGGUACAGCAAGGGGAAUAGUUUUUUCCCUGGAUCCCAGUGCUGGUUUUAUUCAGGUACAAGAGCUUCAUCCAUUCUUUUUUAAGGCCUUGUUCCUGCUGGCCACCCCUCCUGCUGUGGACUGCAAAUGGCUCCUCGUUGUUGCAGGCACAUCUCCUUUCUGUGGAGCUGCACCACAAACAAACGCGGUGAGAAGGUCCAGGUGACAAAUAACCCCAUGGGAAUAAACCCGAGGUCAUUCCCUGUUUGUUUGUCUCUUUCAGAGCAGCCUCUCAACAGCAGACGGAGCAGUGGAGAACCUGGGAGGCUCCAGGCUGGAAGUUUAAUCCAUAAAAAUGUGUGUCAGGUGGCUGAUGAAUAUAAAUUGCUGAACACCAUGGGCCUGCGAGGCUGGAGGAUGCAGGAGGGAGACAGGGCUGUCUUCCAUGUCGGGGAACUGGACUGUGAAAUUAAGGACACGGGUUUGCAGCCUUGUCAUUCUGCCUUGUGUUUGCUGGAGUUCCACUGCUGCGCACACGUCUGCUCUAUGAAGAUGCACGAAGAGAUCUGAGGAACGACCUCCACCCAGCGCAAGGAAGGAGUUUCUGCCCAGCCUUGCUGACCUUGGCCCUACAGCUCUGAGAACCAAGCACAGUUCAUGCCAUGUUUCUGGUAAUCCACCCUUUCAUUCCCCUGUGGGCACAAAAAACUGUGUGUGUGUGACCUAGGGAUGCACUAGGUGGAUCCUCAGGAAUGAGGAUGUGUGUGUCAGACAUGGACAUGUGACACACAAUGGCCGUGUUUGUCCUUUCAGCUCCAUCACCGUCUACAGGAAGAGUCUGUGCUUCAGCAGACUGCAGUUUGUGUCCCAAACAUUAAAAAAGGCCAAUAAAGUCAUUUUUCUGCACCAGCUUGCAGAGGGAGACCCCAAAUGACUCACCCAGAGUCUGAAGGCUUCAGAGCAACGGCGCUGCUUUGCAGAUAGAAACAAAGCUGUCGGUACCAGGCUGCUGGCAGUGCACUGCUGGCAUGGCCUGCUCGGGAUUUAGGAGGGGUUGAACACAAAUGUGGAGGAGGCCCAGCGGGUGACCAACCUCCCCGUCCAGCGAGAGCCUUCCCGUCCUCUGCCCGUGUCCUGACACACCGCAGUUAGUCAGUGCCACCUCCAUCCGUCCUACGCGCGUUUCUGGGACUUCUGGGGAAGGGAGGGACGAGGCUGCGCACGGGUCCCGCUCCGGGUCCCGCUCGGGUCCCGGUUCCGCUCGGGUCCCGCUCCCGGUCCCGGUCCCGCUGUCCCGGCCGCUGCUCCGCCGGCAGCUCCGGCAGCGCUCGGGCUGGGGUCGGGGUGUUUCAGUCGCUCUCCGGGCUGUGUCCGUUCGCUUUCGCUGGGCAGGGCGGUGUCCGUGCGGGGCUGGGUGACGAUGCCGAGUGAGCCGGGGCUGUGCGGGGCGGCAGUGGGGCCGGCCGGGUCCCGCCGGCGCUACCCGACCUUCUGCAGCUCCUGGCGCAGCCACGAGGGCAGCGGCUGCCCCAGCCUGUGCAGCAGCUUGGACAGCUCCACGUUGUGCUCCCGGUAGUAGCUGGACAGGAACGCUCGGGACUGACAGGGCGGAAAAACAAACCCAGGUGCGGUUAAAGGGCAGCCACCCGCGGGCAUCAGUGCUCUGCUCCCGCAGGAGCUCCCACAGGGGGCAUUCAAUGCCCUCUUUCUCAAAGCUCGAGUUUCUGAUUUUUAGAAACAUCAACCCAGUGAAAA